rfam:Marine metagenome 1096626705633, whole genome shotgun sequence.
CUACCGAAGUCGAGAGGCUUCGGGACGGGAGCGCAGAAGUCAGCAGAGGCCGUAGUAGCGAUCGAUGGAUCGUGAAGGGC